AUACGGAGGAUGCAAGCGUUAUCCGGAUUUAUUGGGUUUAAAGGGUGCGUAGGCGGUUUGCUAAGCGGGAGGUGAAAUGCCGGCGCUCAACGUCGGAAGUGCCUCCCGAACUGGUGGACUUGAAUGACUCUGCCGUGGGAGGAAUGUGUAGUGUAGCGGUGAAAUGCUUAGAGAUUACACAGAACACCGAUUGCGAAGGCAUCUCACGAAGGGUUGAUUGACGCUGAGGCACGAAAGCGUGGGGAUCAAACAGGAUUAGAUACCCUGGUAGUCCACGCAGUAAACGAUGAUGGCUAACCGCUGGGCUUAUCAGUUCAGUGGCCAAGCGAAAGCGAUAAGCCAUCCACCUGGGGAGUACGACCGCAAGGUUGAAACUCAAAGGAAUUGGCGG
rnacentral:rRNA from 1 species